UUGGGAAGGUGCUGCGUUCCCCACAUUGGACAAGUGGAAGAAACAUAAUGCUGACAAUGGCCCUAAUCUUACAGGUGAAACCAAGAAAAGCAAGAAAGCCAGCAAAACCAGGGAACCCUAAAGAGGCAGUUAGAGGAGAGUCCAUGGAUCUGGCCAGCAGCCUGCAGUAUUCCCAGCAGUGUGUGGGAGAGUUGGAUUGGACUCUUUGCUGUCUCCAUGCAGCAGAAGAACAUG